GACGAACGCUGGCGGCGUGCUUAACACAUGCAAGUCGAACGGAAAGGCCCUGCUUUUGUGGGGUGCUCGAGUGGCGAACGGGUGAGUAACACGUGAGUAACCUGCCCUUGACUUUGGGAUAACUUCAGGAAACUGGGGCUAAUACCGGAUAUGAUCUCCUGCUGCAUGGUGGGGGUUGGAAAGUUUCGGCGGUUGGGGAUGGACUCGCGGCUUAUCAGCUGGUUGGUGGGGUAGUGGCUUACCAAGGCUUUGACGGGUAGCCGGCCUGAGAGGGUGACCGGCCACAUUGGGACUGAGAUACGGCCCAGACGCCUACGGGAGGCAGCAGUGGGGAAUAUUGCACAAUGGGCGGAAGCCUGAUGCAGCAACGCCGCGUGCGGGAUGACGGCCUUCGGGUUGUAAACCGCUUUCGCCUGUGACGAAGCGUGAGUGACGGUAAUGGGUAAAGAAGCACCGGCUAACUACGUG
rnacentral:rRNA from 1 species